rnacentral:rRNA from 1 species
AUUGAACGCUGGCGGCAUGCCUUACACAUGCAAGUCGAACGGCAGCACGGGUGCUUGCACCUGGUGGCGAGUGGCGAACGGGUGAGUAAUACAUCGGAACAUGUCCUGUAGUGGGGGAUAGUCCGGCGAAAGCCGGAUUAAUACCGCAUACGAUCCACGGAUGAAUGCGGGGGACCUUCGGGCCUCGCGCUAUUGGUUGGGCGAUGGCUGAUUAGCUAGUUGGUGGGGUAAAGGCCUACCAAGGCGACGAUCAGUAGCUGGUCUGAGAGGACGACCAGCCACACUGGGACUGAGACACGGCCCAGACUCCUACGGGAGGCAGCAGUGGGGAAUUUUGGACAAUGGGCGAAAGCCUGAUCCAGCAAUGCCGCGUGUGUGAAGAAGGCCUUCGGGUUGUAAAGCACUUUUGUCCGGAAAGAAAUCCUUGGCUCUAAUACAGUCGGGGGAUGACGGUACCGGAAGAAUAAGCACCGGCUAACUACGUG